CACUUUUAUUCACCCCUCCACCAGUGGGCAGUGCCAGUUACCUACUCUCCCACGAUAGCUAGAUAGUAGAGUGAUUACAAUGGAGCCUCCAUGGACAGUGUUCAUAACUAGUAGGAAUUGGGGCAGGAGAGGAGGUAGCUGUGGCUCAGCAGUUAAGAGCUAGGAAGACCCAAGUUCAAAUCUAGUCUCAGAUACUUCUUGGGCAAGUCACUUAACCUCUGUGUGCCUAGGAAGCAGCUGAGUGGCUAGGGGCCUGGGGUCAGGAAGGUCUAAAUUGGAAUCUUGCUUUUGAUACUUAUUAGUUGUGUGGCCCUGGAUAAGUCACUUAACCUCUGAUUGUCUGAUCCACUGCAGAAAGAAAUGGCAAACCACUCCAGUAUCCUUGCCAAGAAAAACCCAUGUGGACAACUAAGGUCUAUGAGAUCACAAAGAGUCAGACAUGAUGGAAACAACAACAAAGGAAUGAGGGACUAGGCAUGUCCUGAUGGAGACCAAAGUGGCUCCCAUCAAUUUAAAUUUUCUAUCGUUUUGAUCCAGGUGCCACAGUUUUACAUACUAUACGCAGGGUUUUUUCAGCUAAUGACUCUCAGUACUGCUCAAAUAGGUCUCUGUUUUCCAUUCUAGGUCAGCUCACAGUGAGCUUGCAGCCAUUUAUCUCAUCUCUACCUUCAAGCUUUCUACCCCCCAAACCUCUUCUCAUGGAGCCUUUUGGGUUUCAGAGAGGUGCUCCAAUCUCUUUCCACUUGUCUUCCUGGUUUAUGUUUUCAUCCAAGGCUGGGUUGUUCCAAACCACCCAGUUCUGUACCUUUAAAGAGCUCAAACAGGAUAAUGCAAAGUUCAACUUUAACUCAACCAGGAUUAAUUUAUCUCAAUAAGUUAAAUUCCUGCAAAAACCCUCCAUUAAAGUCAUCCUCAUUACCACCAAAAGCCAACUACAGAACAACUGCCACAAUGGACAGGUAAAUCUAGGAGAGCUGGGAACAUCAGUACCCCCUAGAUGACUGGUCCUGCUCCCUACCAGCUCUGCUUCUAGCUUUUCCUCCCUCUUCUUCCCCUCCCAUCCCCCAUCAUUCAACCCUUGUGAGGAUGUGACCUGGACUGCCUCCUCAACAGUCACUGCUACUGAAGACCCAGAAAAGAAUGCUCUUGCCACUAAAGUCUUUGGCAUUGUCAAAUGAUUCAACAUCAGAAAUGGACAUGGUUUUAUCAAUGGAAAUACUACUAAAGAAGAUGCCUAACACAGCCAUCACUCUGGUGCAGGGCCUCAUUGCCUGAACUAUUGUAAUAGUCAGCUGGUUGAUUCUGGAAGGCAAUUUGGAAUUAUGCCCAAAGGGUUUAAAAGAAUGCAUGCCGAACUUCCGGUUAAGAUGGCGGCUUAGAGAAAGCUAAAGCUCAGAUCUCCGGAAAACCCUUCCCGACCCAUCUCAAACUAUAAGCUCCUAAGGCGCCGAAAUUCAAAACGAUCAACAGCACAGACCCUGGGAACCCUCCUCCUGGACCUGGACCCGGUUCAAAAGGUACGGCUCCCCUCAAAAGCCAGAACCCGAGAUCACUCGGACCUCAGGGGUAGGAGCGCAGAGUCCAAGGCUCCCGGAAGCCGCAGCCCGGCCAGGCUCAGAGAGCAGAGUCCUCCGAACCACAACCCUCAGGGCCUUCUACCCGAGUCCGGGUGAAAGUUACUGCCUGGGGCUUCCGCUGCAGAGAGCUGGUCAAAACAACAGCAACCCUCAGGGCGGGCAAGACAGCCUCACGUGCUGGAUCCUGCUAUCCAAGUCUCAGUGAAAGUCCUUGCCCUCAGAGCUUGGGUUAGCUGCAGCCCAUCCCCCUGCAGGCCGAGGAAACAGCCUCACGGCCAGCGAUUCUGAAGG
rnacentral:lncRNA from 1 species